rnacentral:misc_RNA from 1 species
GAUGAAGAGCGUAGCGAAAUGCGAUACGUAAUGUGAAUUGCAGAAUUCAGUGAAUCAUCGAGUCUUUGAACGCACAUUGCGCCCCCUGGUAUUCCGGGGGGCAUGCCUGUCCGAGCGUCAUUGCUGCCCUCAAGCACGGCUUGUGUGUUGGGCCUCCGUCCUCCUCCCGGGGGACGGGCCCGAAAGGCAGCGGCGGCACCGCGUCCGGUCCUCGAGCGUAUGGGGCUUCGUCACCCGCUCUUGUAGGCCCGGUCGGCGCUUGCCGACACAUCAAUCUUUUUUCCAGGUUGACCUCGGAUCAGGUAGGGAUACCCGCUGAACUUAAGCAUAUCAAUAAGCGGAGG